rnacentral:rRNA from 1 species
GUGGGUAGUUUGACUGGGGCGGUCUCCUCCUAAAGAGUAACGGAGGAGCACGAAGGUUGGCUAAUCCUGGUCGGACAUCAGGAGGUUAGUGCAAUGGCAUAAGCCAGCUUGACUGCGAGCGUGACGGCGCGAGCAGGUGCGAAAGCAGGUCAUAGUGAUCCGGUGGUUCUGAAUGGAAGGGCCAUCGCUCAACGGAUAAAAGGUACUCCGGGGAUAACAGGCUGAUACCGCCCAAGAGUUCAUAUCGACGGCGGUGUUUGGCACCUCGAUGUCGGCUCAUCACAUCCUGGGGCUGAAGUAGGUCCCAAGGGUAUGGCUGUUCGCCAUUUAAAGUGGUACGCGAGCUGGGUUUAGAACGUCGUGAGACAGUUCGGUCCCUAUCUGCCGUGGGCGCUGGAGAACUGAGGGGGGCUGCUCCUAGUACGAGAGGACCGGAGUGGACGCAUCACUGGUGUUCGGGUUGUCAUGCCAAUGGCACUGCCCGGUAGCUAAAUGCGGAAGAGAUAAGUGCUGAAAGCAUCUAAGCACGAAACUUGCCCCGAGAUGAGUUCUCCCUGAGACUUAAAGUCUCCUGAAGGAACGUUGAAGACGACGACGUUGAUAGGCCGGGUGUGUAAGCGCAGCGAUGCGUUGAGCUA